AUGGCCGAGCCAGCGCGGCACCUCGCCGACGAGAUCCUGGAGGAGAUCUUCAUUCGCCUGCCCACGCCGGCCGCGCUCGCCAGCGCCUCCACCGCCAGCCCCCGUUUCCGCCGCAUCAUCACCGAGCGCCCCUUCCUCCGCCGCCUCCGCGCUCUCCAUCCGCCGCCACUCCUGGGAUUCGCCGUCGACAGACGCGCCUUCCACCACGCCCAGGAACCUCAUCCCUCCGCCCCGCUUGCCCGUGCCCUCGCCGACGGCGCGGAUUUCUCCUACUCCUUCGUUCCCAUGCCCCAGCCUAAGCCCAAUCAGGAGUUGCUCAGCCCCUGGUACCACCGUGACAUCCGCGACGGCCGCGUCCUCCUCGAGCACAGCUACAUGUUCGACAUGGGUGCUGCAGGCUUCCCAAACCUCGCGGUGUGCGAUCCCGUGUCACGGAGGUACGUGCUGCUCCCGUCCAUACCUGAGGAAAUGGCCGUCCAGCAAGAGCGCCUUGUCGAAUUCGGGCCCAUGCUUGGUCCCGCUGGCGACGAUGAGGAUGAGACCUCGUUCUCGGUGAUCUGCACGGCGUGCUACAACAGCAAGUUGGUCACAUUUGUCUUCUCUUCGGCCACCGGACAAUGGUGUGUAGCUGCAUCUCAGCUGGAGCUCUUUGGGCACAGCUGA
rnacentral:rRNA from 1 species